AGCCCCGUGGUGUAGCGGUUUAGCAUACUGGGUUCUGGACCCGGUGACAACGGUUCGAAUCCGUUCGGGACUA
rnacentral:tRNA from 1 species